rnacentral:rRNA from 1 species
GACGAACGCUGGCGGCGUGCUUAACACAUGCAAGUCGAGCGGUAAGGCCCUUUCGGGGGUACACGAGCGGUGAACGGGUGAGUAACACGUGGGUGACCUGCCUUUAGCUCUGGGAUAAGCCUGGGAAACUGGGUCUAAUACCGGAUAUGACCUCAUGAUGCAUGUUGUGGGGUGGAAAGCCUUGUGCGGCUGGAGAUGGGCCCGCGGCCUAUCAGCUUGUUGGUGGGGUGAUGGCCUACCAAGGCGA